GACGAACGCUGGCGGCGUGCUUAACACAUGCAAGUCGAACGGAAAGGCUCCAGCUUGCUGGAGUACUCGAGUGGCGAACGGGUGAGUAACACGUGGGUAAUCUGCCCUGCACUCUGGGAUAAGCCUUGGAAACUGGGUCUAAUACUGGAUAUGACCUUUCUCCUUAUGGGGUUUGGUGGAAAGUUUUUCGGUGUAGGAUGGGCCCGCGGCCUAUCAGCUUGUUGGUGGGGUGAUGGCCUACCAAGGCGACGACGGGUAGCCGGCCUGAGAGGGUGAUCGGCCACAUUGGGACUGAGAUACGGCCCAGACUCCUACGGGAGGCAGCAGUGGGGAAUAUUGCACAAUGGGCGGAAGCCUGAUGCAGCGACGCCGCGUGAGGGAUGACGGCCUUCGGGUUGUAAACCUCUUUCAGCAGGGACGAAGCGUAAGUGACGGUACCUGCAGAAGAAGCACCGGCUAACUAUGUG
rnacentral:rRNA from 1 species